rnacentral:rRNA from 1 species
UACGUAGGACCCAAGCGUUAUCCGGAUUGACUGGGCGUAAAGAGUUGCGUAGGUGGUUUGUUAAGCGAAUAGUGAAAUCUUGUGGCUCAACCAUAAGGCUAUUAUUCGAACUGGCAAACUCGAGAAUGGGAGAGGUAUCUAGAAUUCCUCAUGUAGGGGUAAUAUCCGUAGAUAUGAGGAGGAAUACCAAUGGCGUAGGCAGGAUACUGGCCCAUUUCUGACACUGAGGCACGAAAGCGUGGGGAGCGAACCGG